rnacentral:rRNA from 1 species
GGUACCCGCGGUAAUUCCAGCUCCAAUAGCGUAUAUUAAAGUUGUUGCAGUUAAAAAGCUCGUAGUUGAAUUUCGGGAUCAAUAUAUCGGUCGUGCCUCCGGUAUGCACUGGUAUUAUUGAUUUCUACCUUCUGACGAAUCAUGAUGUCAUUAAUUUGGUGUCAUGGGGAAUCAGGACUGUUACUUUGAAAAAUUAGAGUGCUUAAAGCAGGCACACGCUUGAAUACAUUAGCAUGGAAUAAUGAAAUAGGACGUUUGACCCUAUUUUGUUGGUUUCUAGGAUCGACGUAAUGAUUAAUAGGGAUAGUUGGGGGCAUUAGUAUUCAAUUGUCAGAGGUGAAAUUCUUGGAUUUAUUGAAGACUAACUACUGCGAAAGCAUUUGCCAAGGAUGUUUUCAUUAAUCAAGAACGAAAGUUAGGGGAUCGAAGACGAUCAGAUACCGUCGUAGUCUUAACCAUAAACUAUGCCGACUAGGGAUCGGAUGAUGUUAAUUUUAAUGACUCAUUCGGUA